rnacentral:rRNA from 1 species
CACGUAGGGACCAAGCGUUGUCCGGAUUCAUUGGGCGUAAAGAGCUCGUAGGCGGUUUGUCGCGUCUGCUGUGAAAACUCGGGGCUUAACUCCGGGCCUGCAGUGGGUACGGGCAGACUAGAGUGCGGUAGGGGAGACUGGAAUUCCUGGUGUAGCGGUGAAAUGCGCAGAUAUCAGGAGGAACACCGGUGGCGAAGGCGGGUCUCUGGGCCGUAACUGACGCUGAGGAGCGAAAGCGUGGGGAGCGAACAGG